ACAUUUAUAAAAUCAAAACACUCUCUCCUCUUUCAUCUCCUUUAUCUCCUUCUAUGCCUUCUCUCCCCCACCAGACAACUACCAGCACCAACACCAUCUGACCACCACCUCUUUCAUCUCCUUCUAUACCUUCAUCUCCUUCUAUACCGUCAUCACCUCAAGCCAUCCGCCAUCAUCACCAUAAACCAUCUCCGCCGUCAUCAUCAUAAGCCAUCUCUGCCACCAUCACCAUAAACCAUCUCCGCCGUCAUCACCACAAGCCAUCCGCCGCCACCAUCUGAACUUAAGGUUUUUAGGUUACUUCGGGCGGGGUAAAGAGAGAAGAAUAAAGCCUAGGACUAAAUCUGAAGAUGUUAGUUAAUCAAGUCGAAUAUGUCCGCUUGUAUAUUAACAUCAAGUUUAGUUGUCGUGUGGUUGUAUCCUUGUCGAAUAAAUAAAUGGAAUUAUGACUUUUGUUUA